GAUCCUCCCACCCUUUGUGUACCUACCUCUGUUGCUUUGGCGGGCCGCGGUCCUCCGCGGCCGCCCCCCUCCCCGGGGGGGUGGCCAGCGCCCGCCAGAGGACCAUCAAACUCCAGUCAGUAAACGAUGCAGUCUGAAAAACAUUUAAUAAACUAAAACUUUCAACAACGGAUCUCUUGGUUCUGGCAUCGAUGAAGAACGCAGCGAAAUGCGAUAAGUAAUGUGAAUUGCAGAAUUCAGUGAAUCAUCGAAUCUUUGAACGCACAUUGCGCCCUUUGGUAUUCCGAAGGGCAUGCCUGUUCGAGCGUCAUUACAACCCUCAAGCUCUGCUUGGUAUUGGGCACCGUCCUUUGCGGGCGCGCCUCAAAGACCUCGGCGGUGGCGUCUUGCCUCAAGCGUAGUAGAACAUACAUCUCGCUUCGGAGCGCAGGGCGUCGCCCGCCGGACGAACCUUCUGAACUUUUCUCAAGGUUGACCUCGGAUCAGGUAGGGAUACCCGCUGAACUUAAGCAUAUCAAUAA
rnacentral:rRNA from 1 species